rnacentral:rRNA from 1 species
GACAGAGGUGCCAAGCGUUAGGCGGAAUCAUUGGGCUUAAAGCGCGUGUAGGCGGAUUCGUGUGUCUGUCGCUGAAAUCCCCGGCUCAACCGGGACGGGCGCGGAUACGACGAGUCUGGAGGGGCAUAGGGGGACCUGGAACUCCGGUGGAGGCGGUGAAAUGCGUUGAGAUCGGAAGGAACGCCCGUGGCGAAAGCGAGGUCCUGGAUGCCUACUGACGCUGAGACGCGAAAGCCAGGGGAGACCGAAACGGG